rnacentral:rRNA from 1 species
GACGAACGCUGGCGGCGCGCCUAACACAUGCAAGUCGAACGAGCGAGAGAGAGCUUGCUUUCUCAAGCGAGUGGCGAACGGGUGAGUAACGCGUGAGGAACCUGCCUCAAAGAGGGGGACAACAGUUGGAAACGACUGCUAAUACCGCAUAAGCCCACAGCUCGGCAUCGAGCAGAGGGAAAAGGAGCAAUUCGCUUUGAGAUGGCCUCGCGUCCGAUUAGCUGGUUGGUGAGGUAACGGCCCACCAAGGCGACGAUCGGUAGCCGGACUGAGAGGUUGAACGGCCACAUUGGGACUGAGACACGGCCCAGACUCCUACGGGAGGCAGCAGUGGGGAAUAUUGCGCAAUGGGGGAAACCCUGAUGCAGCGACGCCGCGUGGAGGAAGAAGGUCUUCGGAUUGUAAACUCCUGUUGUUGAGGAAGAUAAUGACGGUACUCAACAAGGAAGUGACGGCUAACUACGUGCCAGCAGCCGCGGUAAAACGUAGGUCACAAGCGUUGUCCGGAAUUACUGGGUGUAAAGGGAGCGCAGGCGGGAAAGCAAGUUGGAAGUGAAAUCCAUGGGCUCAACCCAUGAACUGCUUUCAAAACUGUUUUUCUUGAGUAGUGCAGAGGUAGGCGGAAUUCCCGGUGUAGCGGUGGAAUGCGUAGAUAUCGGGAGGAACACCAGUGGCGAAGGCGGCCUACUGGGCACCAACUGACGCUGAGGCUCGAAAGUGUGGGUAGCAAACAGG